AAAUCCGGUUGAUCCUGCCGGAGGCUACCGCUAUUGGAGUUCGAUUAAGCCAUGCGAGUCGCGAGAAAUUAGAUUCUCGGCGUACCGCUCAGUAACACGUGGGUAACCUGCCCUAUGCUGGAUAAUAACCUCGGGAAACUGAGAAUAAUGAUCCAUAGUUCACUACGCCUGGAACGGUGAGUGGAUGAAAGCUCCGGCGGCAUAGGAUGGGCCUGCGGCGUAUCAGGUUGUAGGGGGUGUAACGUACCCUCUAGCCCUCUACGCGUACGGGUGUUGGGAGACAUAGCCCGGAGAUGGAUUCUGAGACACGAAUCCAGACCCUACGGGGUGCAGCAGGCGCGAAAACUUGGCAAUGCGAGAAAUCGUGACCAGGGAACUCCAAGUGCAUCGGGUAAGACCGGUGCUUUUCUUGACUCUAAAUAGGUCUUGGAAUAAGGGGUGGGUAAGGACGGUGCCAGCCGCCGCGGUAAUACCGGCGCCUCAAGUGGUAGUCGCUUUUAUUGGGCCUAAAACGUCCGUAGCCGGUCUGAUACAUUCGUGGGUAAAUCAACCAGCUCAACUGGUUGAAUUCUGCGAGGACGGUCAGACUUGGGACCGGGAGAGGUGUGGGGUACGCUCAGGGUAGGGGUAAAAUCCUGUCAUCCUGAGCGGACCACCUGUUGCGAAGGCGCCACACUAGAACGGAUCCGACGGUCAGGGACGAAGCCUAGGGGCACGAACCGGAUUAGAUACCCGGGUAGUCCUAGGUGUAAACGCUGUGGACUUG
rnacentral:rRNA from 2 species